AACGAACGCUGGCGGCAGGCUUAACACAUGCAAGUCGAACGCCCCGCAAGGGGAGUGGCAGACGGGUGAGUAACGCGUGGGAAUCUACCCAACCCUGCGGAAUAGCUCUGGGAAACUGGAAUUAAUACCGCAUACGCCCUACGGGGGAAAGAUUUAUCGGGGAUGGAUGAGCCCGCGUUGGAUUAGCUAGUUGGUGGGGUAAAGGCCUACCAAGGCGACGAUCCAUAGCUGGUCUGAGAGGAUGAUCAGCCACAUUGGGACUGAGACACGGCCCAAACUCCUACGGGAGGCAGCAGUGGGGAAUAUUGGACAAUGGGCGUAAGCCUGAUCCAGCCAUGCCGCGUGAGUGAUGAAGGCCUUAGGGUUGUAAAGCUCUUUCACCGGUGAAGAUAAUGACGGUAACCGGAGAAGAAGCCCCGGCUAACUUCGUGCCAGCAGCCGCAGUAACAC
rnacentral:rRNA from 1 species